GGCCAAAAACAGAAAGACUUGUAGAUUAUAUCGAUCCAAUAUAUCAUAAGUACCUUAUUAUUAUGGACAAUGAUGUCUUUCCAUUAACAUGAACUUCUCAAAUCAAAUGAUACAAUUGAACAAGCAACACAAUAAUGGAGAUUGAAGCAAACAUAGAUCAAAAAGUUAUACAUUAUUAUUUCCUCCAUCACUUAAGCAAGAUGAAUUGUGCUAGACCAUGUCAUUCGUCUUCUUGUUGAUGACAUCCUGAAUGAUAGGACCGAGGGCCUCCAUCCUUAUUGGUUUGGGCACAAAUAAAUCAGCACCAGCACUCAUGAACGCCUCCAUGGCAUGAUUAUUGGCAGAAACCCCAACAAUCUUCACAUCAGUUUCCCCCAUAGCACGGAUCUUCACAAUUGCCUGUCGAGCAAUAUAAAAAUUAUAUUGAUUUUUGGUAAAUAAAUGGAUUAUAUUUAUAUAAAUACAUGCCAAAUACUUGACGAUAUAGAAUUAAUUACCUCUGGACCAGUCAUGACGGGCAUAUCCUUAUCAAACAAAACAAUGUCAAACUUUUUCCCCUCAAGGAACAAAUCAACAGCUUCCUUCCCAUUCAUGGCUAGAGUAACCUCACAGUGAAGUCUGAGCAGAAACGUUGAGAGGACCAACCUACAAACUUCAAUGUCCUCUACAAGUAGUGCCUUGAUAGAGGUGAAUCCUUUGGCCUUGAGCUCCAUGAUCACCUAAACAAAUUGCAAACACAUCAAUAUAUUUUAUUCUUGAUCCACGCAUGCCAAAUUAGUACUUCAAGCAUAUUGUUUUUCUUGAAAAUAAUCAACUAACAAAAUCUUAAUAUAUUACUAAACUCAUAGUUUAACUAAUCGAGGACAUCGCAUAACACAAUGAAACAAAAUUGUGUAUUUCAAAUGAAAACAAUGAUAGAGAACGAUCGAUUGUGCUAUGCAUGUAAAGUUUCCCAUCAUCAUUCCUUUUUAUACGAUAUGUAGGACUGAAAGAAUCAAUCCGCCUAGAUAACAUCAACGUGGAAAAUAAACAAUGAACAUGCCAACAAUUAUACAUAAAUGCAUAUAGAUGGGUGGUAACAACACCAACGAAGAUAUUGAUUAACAGAUCAAACUAAAAUGCAUACUUCCACCCUAUACUGGUAUAGAUCCACCUCUAACAUUCUCCGGUAUGUAAAGCGUGGACACUAAAAGCACCAGAAGCCUGAUGAUAAGACAAGGCAGGAAAACAAAUAAUGGAACAUGUACCUGAAGGUUAGAGCCAGAUGGUACUGGAGGAGAUUGGGGAUCUUCCUGCUCUUCCCGCUAGAUAGUCUGGUGGUUGGGUGCUGGUAUGCCUGGUAUGAUGAGGUAUUUAUAGCUGGGAAAAGGUAAGUGUGGACAAUGGACAACCUAUCUCCACCGCCUUCACACACGCAGAAAAUCUGCGCCGAUCUUCGCCCAAGUAUAAAGGGGAAAUCAAUAUUAGUCACGAAUAUUUGGUUAUUAGUGAGUCAUAUCCCCACAUAAUAUUCUCGACUGAUGUUUAUAUGCAAGUUAAUGCUUCAUAUCUAAGGUCACGUAUUAAACUAUAUCUCCUCUAGUUAUUAGAAGUUGUAUGAGUUAUAGUUCCAAAUUUUGAAUCUUGGCCAAUAUACCACUACUAGGAAAUACCUUACAGGUACUCCCUCCGUUCCUAAAUAUAAGUCUUUGGGGAGAUUUCACUAUGGGCCACAUACGAAGCAAAACGAGUGAAAGUACACUCUAAAAUGCAUCUAUAUACAUCCGUAUGUGGUCUAUAGUGAAAUCUCUACAAAGACUUAUAUUUAGGUACGGAGGGAGUAGAUAAUUAGCAGUAGAGCUGGGUAAGUGACCCGCGCUAUUGUUAAGUAGUAGUAGCGCGGGUCAAAACACCACGCUACAGGUCUAGUACUAGAGCGGGUGUAUACACCCAACGCUGCUGCUAAGUGGGCCCCAUAGAACCCCCGGGUCGAGCCAUAGUGGCAGCGCUGGGUAUAAGACCCGCGCUACACCUAACAUGGUAGCUAUAGCGCAGGGCUUAUACCAAGUGCUGCCACUACUAGUACACAGGGCUAGCUGGUGGGCCCCAUUUAGCAGCAGGGCUGGUGCAUGAUAGAGCUCUACACGUAAUGGGCAUAGCAAUACCGCGGGUCUUCUUCCCCAAGCUACUGUUGUGGCAACUUUAUCCCUCCUCCAACGACGACCCUCUCACUCACUCAUGCUUCUUUCUCCUCUCGUUGUCGUCGCCGCCCUUCUCCUUCCUCCGUAAGCAGCAUCCCUCCUCCACCUGUCGCCCUCGUCCCUCCUCCUUAAAGUUGUUCUCCUCCCUCCUCCUCCUCUCUCCUCCCUCCUCUCUCCUCCCUCCUCUGGCCGCCAUCCUCCCUCCUCCUCCUCUAUGCCCUCCCUCCUCCCUCCUCCCUCCAUCCUCCUCCUUCAUCCCACCUCCCUCCUCCAUNNNNNNNNNNNNNNNNNNNNNNNNNNNNNNNNNNNNNNNNNNNNNNNNNNNNNNNNNNNNNNNNNNNNNNNNNNNNNNNNNNNNNNNNNNNNNNNNNNNNNNNNNNNNNNNNNNNNNNNNNNNNNNNNNNNNNNNNNNNNNNNNNNNNNNNNNNNNNNNNNNNNNNNNNNNNNNNNNNNNNNNNNNNNNNNNNNNNNNNNNNNNNNNNNNNNNNNNNNNNNNNNNNNNNNNNNNNNNNNNNNNNNNNNNNNNNNNNNNNNNNNNNNNNNNNNNNNNNNNNNNNNNNNNNNNNNNNNNNNNNNNNNNNNNNNNNNNNNNNNNNNNNNNNNNNNNNNNNNNNNNNNNNNNNNNNNNNNNNNNNNNNNNNNNNNNNNNNNNNNNNNNNNNNNNNUUUAAUGUAGAAAUUUUUUAGGUGUCGAAUAAAAUAUAAAAAUAUAAAAAUGUUGUUGAAAAUUAUAUUGUGAAUUAUUUUUAUGUUAUUAUCUCUUUUGAAUCAAAGAAUCUUAUAUGAGAUAUGAUGAUGUAAAUUUUCACUCGGUGGAAUACGCAGGCUUUCUUGUGUCGCGUCCCCCUCUCCCGUUCGCUCCCGCCCCGUCCACCAUGAGCACCUCCUCUCCUCUCUGUUCAGUUUUAGGUUUAGUUCUUUUUUAAUAUAUAUAUGUAAAUGCAUGUAUGUUCUUUAGAUGGAUGGAUGCAUUUUGUAGGGAACAAAUCCGAGUGCCUAUGUUUUACCGGAAUGUUGAUUCAUUUCCAUUCCUGCAAAUUUUAGGCACUCGAUAUGUCCUGUUCUUACCAAAGGUCAUGCGAAAUUUUCCUUGAAUUUCAGAAUGACUUGUGCUAGAAAGUAGGACAUAUCGAGUGCUCAUUAUUUGCCAGAACAGGAAUUAAAUGACAUUUAUGCAAAACCCCAAAAUGUCGAUACUCCCAUCCAUUCUUGGUGGGCUGCUACCUGUGAUCCAGCCCCUCCUCAGCUUCACGAGGGCAUAUCAUCACUCAUUAUCCUAUUUGCUUGGUGGCUCUGGAAACAUCAGAAUGGUUGCAUCUUUGAUGGUGAUCGGCCCUCUAUCUCUCUUGUCUCCAAGACCAUCCAAGAUGAGGCGUGGCUUUGGGCCAGGGCUGGCAUCGCAGGGCUAGCGAAUAUCAUCCCUGAGACUUAGUCUUGUUUUGGGGGCUGAACAAACCCCUCUAUGUAUGUUCCUCUGCUUGCUUCCAGGCCUUUUGUGUACAUGGGAUAGUAGGCGGUCAUAACGUAUUGUUGUCACUCUUCUUCUAUCAAUGGAAAGAUAUGCAAUAUUUGUGUAUUCGCAAAGAAAAAGAGAUAACAUGCACCAUUGAUGCGGGUCACUUAAAAGGGAGAUCAUAGUAGAGGGUAGAGAUGGUAGCAGCUUGGAGAACGUAGGCCUACCCUAGCGUGCACUUGCAGCCACGUGAAAUAAACAGAACCACGGAGGGCAGCGGGGCGCGAAUGAUAAGCCUAGCAUAAACACAAUAAGCUAUCAAUACUAUUAGAGGUUAACACAUGCUUCGCAACACCGUUCUUCACCUGUGGGAUUAACUCUUCUUUAUCUAGUAGAUUAUUUUGGAUGGUUGUUUUGUUUUGAUUUUAUCUGUGUUGUGCUAGAUUCUAAUUAUGUUAUAACAGUGUUUUUUGUGCAUAUAGCGUGCUAGGUUGUGGUUGGAGACAAUAUUUGUUCUAAUAGAUGAGUGGAGUGUUCAAUGCAUGUUGUGGUGUCUUUACACGUUUCGGCCUCGGUGUCAGUUGGUGGUGGUUGUGUGAGCCCCUUCGGAGCUCCUAUUCUUUUUUCUGCAGGAAAACUUUCAGUCUAUUUAUCUUCAAUCAUGGUAGUACAACAAACACCAGAAAUAAUAAAAAGUUAUAUCCAGAUCCUUAGACCACCUAGCGACGAUUACAAGCACUGAAGCGAGCCGAAGGUGCGCCACCUUCAUCACCGCUCCCUUGCCAGAGCUAGGCAAAAAAAUUUGUAGUACACAGUAGGGGAGUCAUCGUACUAAGGCCCCAUGAGACCAGCGCACUAGAACAACAACUGCCACCGAUGAAAAGAUGCGUAGAUCGUAAGAAUCUAACCUGAAGACACACGAACGAAGAUCGGAUCCGAUUAGAUCCAUCAAAGACAACCACCGACCGAAUUCUGCAAGACCAGCUAGAGACACGCCUCCACACGCCCUCCAAUGAUGCUAGACACGCCACCAGAACGGGGUCUAGGCGGGGAGAAUCCUAUUCCAUCUUCGGGGAGCCGCCUCUGUCUCGUCUUUCUCAGCAGGACACAAACACUAACCAAACCAAUAGAAACAUCUAAAAAGGAAUCCCUCCCGCCGGCAAGGGCCAGGAUCCAUCGCGUCUCCAUGGCCCUAGGGCCACCAGAGACGAGGCAGACUAGCGGCGGCGCUUGCGGGACACAGAGGAACCCUAGCGUUUUUGGAGGAGGCGGCGGUAGCUAUGUGUGCAUUGGGAGCUCCUAUCACACGUUCAAACUGUGGAAUUGCUGCUAUACCGCUCACAUAGGCCAUUCGCUGAAGCUCUGGCUCGAUCAACUUGGCUCCCUUUUCCACUUGCUUAUUUAGUUUUUUUCGCUCGCUCCGGUGCUAGCUCAGAAAUUACCAGCUAAUAUAUUUUUAUUUGAAAACAACCAAUAAAUCAAAUAUGCUCAUGGAUUAAAAGAUGGAUCUUAAAAAUUGUUCUGAAUUAAAAACAAUGGAUGUUUUUUAAAAAUCUUAUUGCCUUAAAAAUAUGUCCAUGGAUUUCAAAAAAUAUUUGUGAAAAUUUAAAGGAGGUUCCUAAACUGAAAAAAUUUCACCAACUUUAAUUUUAUUAUGAACUUUUGGAAUACUCCUACAUAUGCUCCUCGGGGCGGUGCCCUAGGCGUCCUUGGUGAAGGUUUGGUUUGAUUUUAGGUAACAAUUUUGGGCUUCAGCAUGCAUGUCCAUUUUCUGGGAUAGUUUUUAAUGUCAUUGAAAAUCAUGGAUGGGUUAGUGAAUGGAGUAUAAAUAGAAAGAAAAAAUUGUGUCUGCGAGAUUUGAACUGACUACCUCGCUCUUAUGUAGGAGUUAGACUAAGAUGGCUUCAAAUCGAAAAGUGUUUAACAAGAAAAUUGUUCUUCUUAUAGAAAUGAACAACUUUCCUUUUGGAUUUUUUCAAUCCCAUGUCAUGCGGAUGCCGGCCGCUUACAUCCCUAGUCGGACAGUACUCCACAUAUAUAAAUUGCAGAAUGACAAUUCAAAGAAAAACGAACACAAUGCCAUUUCAAUGAUUAUAUCACAAAUGACAAAAACAUUACAAGGUUCAAUUUCCAGUAUUACAAGGCUAAAGUUCAAACUGAUAUUGCGAAUGAAAUCCAGCUUCUGCAGAACCUUUGUCAUACAGCUAUAGACACCCGUGCUGAUUAGCUGAACAUGAACAUAUAGAAGGUUCAAAUUGAUAUUACAAAUAGUUUCUCCAUUCCAAUAUUUCUGCAGGGGGCCAGCCACUAACAAGACAUGUAUGGGCAUGACUAACUAUAGGAAAUAGGAAAUUUGCCGUCAGUCACUGACGGCAAAUAAUAGCUGACAGAAAAAUAGAGGAAAACUUGAUGACAAAGAAACACUAUGGGCAAACAGGUACAAAGGCUGAUAGCAACGGGACACUGUCGGCAAAGGCAUGUCCUUUGUCCUCAUCUUCGGGCCCACUAAUGGCAAAGAGUGUAACUAGACGGAAGUGCAACGACGUGGCAUUUUGCCGCCAACCGCAACACUCACCGGCAUAUAAGAAGGGCAUAACAUGUGGAAAUCAUUGUACUAAAUUAGAAGAGCAUACCAUGCGCGUACUUGAUCACCACGUAAAACCCCGUUUUCUCGGCGGGUGCCUCGGCCUUGGCACCUUGCAGCACCUGCAUGUGGUCUGGCCAAAAUGGUAGGGACAAUUUUCCAAUCCAUGCUACCAGUCCAUGUUAUAAUUCAUGCACAAAUUACUACACAUAUCUUAUAUGCUUGUCAAAUUUCAAGAUGACCAAUACAUAUUCAAGUUGUCAUACAGCCCUUGUGUAUGCACUGAAAUACAAUAUUGCAAUCCCCAUCACAACUAUUCGGGGAUGAAUGGGAAGCAUAAACAAGCAACAAAAUUUUGCAUAAGUACUGUCUAUGAAUAAUCGGAACACUUCAUCCAGUGACCCACUACUUGAUGGUAAAUCUGUAAUCCAUAUUUACCGAUUUAUGCACGUACUUCCGCUGGUUAUCAUGUCUAUACAAGCUUUGUGUUCUCCUUUGUAAUAUCUGAUUAUGCUAUAUAUGCACAGGAAAAUCAAGGAUUACUAUUCUUUGUACAUAUGUAGUGUAUUUUUCUUUCCCGUAGUAAUAGUUCAAGUAGAGGCCAGAUGCAGUGACAUAGAUGGUCGAAGGCUAUUUGAGGCAGCCCCAAGCCCUAUCUCGCUCUUGGAGCUCCUCCCUUGUUCAAGAAGGAGCUCCUCAACAAGAUAAUAGAUCCUUAAACUAAAUUUAGUUCUCCAUUUCCGAAGCAAGCUUCGCUCCCAUUCUGAUCAAUUCGUUUAUGCAGCUCGCCCGUGCCCUCUUUUUUCUGCGUGGACCCGAUUGGAUGUAUGGUGUGUCGAUGCCCAUCACUGGAAGUAGGAUACAACGCUCCUCUAUACAUCCUUAAAAAACCUCAUAGUAGAUUGUAAGAUUUGAGGUGUAUAACUCAUCGAUACCAGGGAGGCUGAAUGGCGGGGCUAGAGCCAAAUGCCAACGUUUGUGCUUGUUGAUGUUACAAGAGAAGAAAGGUCGGGAAAUAAAUGUGCUAAUGCCAUAAAUGCUAAGAUUUUGAAUAAGGGGUCUUCGAACCUUGCUGCAAUCCAUAGAUGCACUAGUAGUGAAACCUUUCUCAAGCAGAUGGAUGGGUGCAUGGAAAGUUAAUUUAACUUACAUGGACAUGGCAGAGUUAUGGGGGUGUAUACCAAUAGUUUUAUAUAAAGGAUCAGUGAUGGAUUAAUAAUAGUGGACAUUAAUUGGAUACACCACACUGGCCAUUAACUAGUAAUCCAGACCAUAUAACAGUUACAAAAUAUUGAUAGCCGAUAAUUUUCCUCUCAAAAGGGUACACGACUCACAACAUGAAUCUUGAGUUAGUGAGAAGCCUUGGCCAAAAACAGAAAGACUUGUAGAUAAUAUUGAUCCAAUAUAUCAUAAGUACCUUAUUAUUAGGGACAAUGAUGUCUUUCCAUUAACAUGAACUUCUCAAAUCAAAUGAUACAAUUGAACAAGCAACACAAUAAUGUAGAUUGAAGCAAACAUAGAUCAAAAAGUUAUACAUUAUUAUUUCCUCCAUCACUUAAGCAAGAUGAAUUUUGCUAGACCAUGUCAUUCGUCUUCUUGUUGAUGACAUCCUGAAUGAUAGGACCGAGGGCCUCCAUCCUUAUUGGUUUGGGCACAAACAAAUCAGCACCAGCACUGAUGAACGCCUCCAUGGCAUGAUUAUCGG
rnacentral:lncRNA from 1 species